rnacentral:rRNA from 1 species
ACUCACGCUGGCCGCAUGCCUCACCCCUGCCAGUCGCACGCGACCUUCGGGUCUAGUGGCGCACGGGUGCGUAACGCGUGGGAACCUGCCCUUAGGUUCUGAAUAACUCCCCGAAAGGGGUGCUAAUACCGGAUAAUUUCUUCGGACCAAAGAUUUAUCGCCUUUGGAUGGGCCCGCGUUGGAUUAGCUAGUUGGUAGGGUAAAAGCCUACCAAGGCGACGAUCCAUAGCUGGUCUGAGAGGAUGAUCAGCCACACUGGGACUGAGACACGGCCCAGACUCCUACGGGAGGCAGCAGUGGGGAAUAUUGGACAAUGGGCGAAAGCCUGAUCCAGCAAUGCCGCGUGAGUGAUGAAGGCCUUAGGGUUGUAAAGCUCUUUUACCCGGGAUGAUAAUGACAGUACCGGGAGAAUAAGCUCCGGCUAACUCCGUG